GCUCCGGUGGCCUAGUGAUUAGAACGUCGGCCUCGGAUACGGGAGGUCGUGGGUUCGAGCCCCGGCCAAAUCA